GUCUGCCUAGUAUAGUGGUUAGUACACUUCGUUGUGGUGCUUAGCACAGUCCCGAAGAAACCCAUGUUCGAUUCAUGGGGCAGACA